GAGGGAAUAGCUCAAAUGGUAGAGCACAUGCUUAGCAUACACAAGGUCCUGGGUUCAAUCCCCAGUACCUCCU
rnacentral:tRNA from 1 species